rnacentral:rRNA from 1 species
AGGUUAACCGUUUAGGGGAGCCGUAGGGAAACCGAGUCUGAAUAGGGCGAUUUAGUCGCUGGGCAUAGACCCGAAACCGGGCGAUCUAACCAUGAGCAGGUUGAAGAUUGAGUAACAUCAAUUGGAGGACCGAACCCACUUAUGUUGAAAAAUGAGGGGAUGACUUGUGGCUAGGAGUGAAAGGCUAAUCAAGCCCGGAGAUAGCUGGUUCUCCUCGAA